AACGUAGGACGCAAGCGUUAUCCGGAGGUACUGGGCGUAAAGCGCGGGCAGGCGGCUCGAUGCGUCUGAUGUGAAAUCUCCUCGCUCAACGGGGAGAGGCCAUUGGAAACGGUCGAGCUGGAGGGCAGUAGAGGUAGGCGGAAUUCCGGGUGGAGUGGUGAAAUGCGUAGAGAUCCGGAGGAACACCAGAGGCGAAGGCGGCCUACUGGGCUGCACCUGACGCUGAGCCGCGAAAGCCAGGGGAGCGAACGGG
rnacentral:rRNA from 1 species